rnacentral:rRNA from 1 species
UUCGAUUCUGGCUCAGAUUGAACGCUGGCGGGAUACUUUACACAUGCAAGUCGAACGGCGGCGCGGACUUCGGUCUGGUGGCGAGUGGCGAACAGGUGAGAGUAAUGUAUCGGAACGUGCCUAGUAAGCGGGGAUAACUACGCGAAAGCGUAGCUAAUACCGCAUACGCCCUUCGGGGGAAAGCGGGGGACCUUCGGGCCUCGCACUAUUAGAGCGGCCGAUAUCGGAUAGCUAGUUGGUGGGGUAACGGCUCGCAAGGCGACGAUCCGUAGCUGGUUUGAGAGGACGACCAGCCACACUGGGAUUACGGCCCAGACUCCUACGGGAGGCGGCGGUGGGAAUUUUUGGACAAUGGAAACCUGAUCCAGCCAUCCCGCGUGUGCGAUGAAGGCCUUCGGGUUGUAAAGCUUGCGCGGCGGGAAAAAAACGGCACGGGAUAUUACCCCGUGCCAGCUGACGAACCUGCAGAAUAAGCACCGGCUAACUACGUGCCAGCAGCCGCGGUAAUACGUAGGGUGCAAGCGUUAAUGGAAUUACUGGGCGUAAAGCGUGCGCAGGCGGUUCGGAAAGAAAAGAUUACAGAAAUCAGAGCUUAGCUUUGAACUGCAUUUUUAACUACCGAGCUAGAGUGUGUCAGAGGAGGUGGAAUUCCGCGUGUAGCAGUGAAAUGCGUAGAUAUGCGGAGGAACACCGAUGGCGAAGGCAGCCUCCUGGGAUAACACUGACGCUCAUGCGAAAGCGUGGGAGCAAACAGGAUUAGAUACCCUGGUAGUCCACGCCUAAACGAUGUCAACUAGCUGUUGGGGCCUUCCCGGGCCUUGGUAGCGCAGCUAACGCGUGAAGUUGACCGCCUGGGAAAUACGGUCGUAGAUUAAACUCAAGGUGACGGGGACCCGCACAAGCGGUGGAUGAUGUGGAUUAAUUCGAUGCAACGCGAAAAACCUUACCUACCCUUGACAUGUCUGGAAUCGAAGAGAUUUGGGAGUGCUCCUGCAAGAGAACCGGAACACAGGUGCUGCAUGGCUGUCGUCAGCUCGUGUCGUGAGAUGUUGGGUUAAGUCCCGCAACAGGCACAACCCUUGUCUUAGUUGCUACGAAGGGCACUCUAAUGAGACUGCCGGUGACAAACCGGAGGAAGGUGGGGAUGACGUCAGAGAUCCUCAUGGCCCAUAUGGGUAGAGGCUUCACACGUCAUACAAUGGUCGGGACAGAGGGUCGCCAACCCGCGGGGGCAAUCCCAGAAACCCGAUCGUAGUCGGAUCGCGGUCUGCAACUUGACUGCGUGAAGUCGGAAUCGCUAGUAAUCGCGGAUCAGCAUGUCGCGGUGAAUACGUUCCCGGGUCUUGUACACCGCCCGUCACACCAUGGGAGUGGGUUUUACCAGAAGUAGUUAGCCUAACC